UUGGCCGGGCGACGGUUGUCCCGGUUUAAGCGUGUAGGUGUGUGUUCCAGGUAAAUCCGGUUCACUUUAACACUGAGGCGUGACGACGAGGCACUACGGUGCUGAAGCAACAAAUGCCCUGCUUCCAGGAAAAGCCUCUAAGCAUCAGGUAACAUCAAAUCGUACCCCAAACCGACACAGGUGGUCAGGUAGAGAAUACCAAGGCGCUUGAGAGAACUCGGGUGAAGGAACUAGGCAAAAUGGUGCCGUAACUUCGGGAGAAGGCACGCUGACACGUAGGUGAAGUGAUUUACUCAUGGAGCUGAAGUCAGUCGAAGAUACCAGCUGGCUGCAACUGUUUAUUAAAAACACAGCACUGUGCAAACACGAAAGUGGACGUAUACGGUGUGACGCCUGCCCGGUGCCGGAAGGUUAAUUGAUGGGGUCAGCGCAAGCGAAGCUCCUGAUCGAAGCCCCGGUAAACGGCGGCCGUAACUAUAACGGUCCUAAGGUAGCGAAAUUCCUUGUCGGGUAAGUUCCGACCUGCACGAAUGGCGUAAUGAUGGCCAGGCUGUCUCCACCCGAGACUCAGUGAAAUUGAACUCGCUGUGAAGAUGCAGUGUACCCGCGGCAAGACGGAAAGACCCCGUGAACCUUUACUAUAGCUUGACACUGAACAUUGAGCCUUGAUGUGUAGGAUAGGUGGGAGGCUUUGAAGUGUGGACGCCAGUCUGCAUGGAGCCGACCUUGAAAUACCACCCUUUAAUGUUUGAUGUUCUAACGUGGACCCGUUACCCGGGUUGCGGACAGUGUCUGGUGGGUAGUUUGACUGGGGCGGUCUCCUCCUAAAGAGUAACGGAGGAGCACGAAGGUUGGCUAAUCCUGGUCGGACAUCAGGAGGUUAGUGCAAUGGCAUAAGCCAGCUUGACUGCGAGCGUGACGGCGCGAGCAGGUGCGAAAGCAGGUCAUAGUGAUCCGGUGGUUCUGAAUGGAAGGGCCAUCGCUCAACGGAUAAAAGGUACUCCGGGGAUAACAGGCUGAUACCGCCCAAGAGUUCAUAUCGACGGCGGUGUUUGGCACCUCGAUGUCGGCUCAUCACAUCCUGGGGCUGAAGUAGGUCCCAAGGGUAUGGCUGUUCGCCAUUUAAAGUGGUACGCGAGCUGGGUUUAGAACGUCGUGAGACAGUUCGGUCCCUAUCUGCCGUGGGCGCUGGAGAACUGAGGGGGGCUGCUCCUAGUACGAGAGGACCGGAGUGGACGCAUCACUGGUG
rnacentral:rRNA from 1 species